AGUUGCAGAAGAUCUUGGUUCUCUUUAUGAGAAAUAUCAGACUUCUCACGAAGUAUAAAGAAUGAUUCUGCAAGUGCAGAAUAAAGGAGGACCUUAUGUGGAAAUUCAGAUUAGAGACUAACCAUAUGCAAUUAGGAUUCCUCAAUGGGUAAGGAUCCUUAAGCAUUGUCUCCUAUAAAUAACAUGGUCCCUGCCUUCACAAUACACAAGCAUUAUACUAUCCCCAUUAUAGAGAGUAUUGGAGAAAGGCAGAAGAUCAAGUUAUCGACUUCGACACAAUGACAUCUUCUUCAUCAA
rnacentral:lncRNA from 1 species